AGUGAACGCUGGCGGUAGGCCUAACACAUGCAAGUCGAACGGCAGCACAGUAAGAGCUUGCUCUUACGGGUGGCGAGAGGCGGACGGGUGAGGAAUACAUCGGAAUCUACUUUUUCGUGGGGGAUAACGUAGGGAAACUUACGCUAAUACCGCAUACGACCUACGGGUGAAAGCAGGGGAUCUUCGGACCUUGCGCGAUUGAAUGAGCCGAUGUCGGAUUAGCUAGUUGGCGGGGUAAAGGCCCACCAAGGCGACGAUCCGUAGCUGGUCUGAGAGGAUGAUCAGCCACACUGGAACUGAGACACGGUCCAGACUCCUACGGGAGGCAGCAGUGGGGAAUAUUGGACAAUGGGCGCAAGCCUGAUCCAGCCAUACCGCGUGAGUGAAGAAGGCCUUCGGGUUGUAAAGCCCUUUUGUUGGGAAAGAAAAGCAGCAGGUUAAUACCCCGCUGUUCUGACGGUACCCAAAGAAUAAGCACCGGCUAACUUCGUG
rnacentral:rRNA from 1 species